rnacentral:rRNA from 1 species
GACGAACGCUGGCGGCGUGCUUAACACAUGCAAGUCGAACGGUGAACCCGCUUCGGUGGGGGAUCAGUGGCGAACGGGUGAGUAACACGUGGGCAACCUGCCCCCGGCUCUGGGAUAACUCCAAGAAAUUGGGGCUAAUACCGGAUAUGACCGCUGACCGCAUGGUCUGGUGGUGGAAAGAUUUAUCGGCUGGGGAUGGGCCCGCGGCCUAUCAGCUUGUUGGUGGGGUAGUGGCCUACCAAGGCGACGACGGGUAGCCGGCCUGGGAGGGUGACCGGCCACACUGGGACUGAGACACGGCCCAGACUCCUACGGGAGGCAGCAGUGGGGAAUAUUGCGCAAUGGGCGGAAGCCUGACGCAGCGACGCCGCGUGGGGGAUGACGGCCUUCGGGUUGUAAACCUCUUUCAGCAGGGACGAAGCGCAAGUGACGGUACCUGCAGAAGAAGCACCGGCCAACUACGUGCCAGCCGCCGCCGUAACAC